GUAACUGAGGCAUACGGGAUGACUUUG
rnacentral:piRNA from 1 species